CAAAAAACACAAGCCGGGGUUUCCUUUAACUGAAGUAGGCAGGCGUCUUUGUUCCCAUGACAAAAUAAACGCUUGCCUUGUGAAGCCUUUGCGGUGGAAGUGCACAGGCUUAGGGUUCCCUUGGAUACAGUAACAACAUUCACCCUGGAACACGAGCGCGGCUCGCCGAAGCGAGACAUCCGUCCCAGGUCCCGGGGGAGAGAGGCCUCCAAACGCCUGAAUCCGAAGAUAAGGGAGGUCAAUGCGCAUUGGUGACCUUUCUCAUGCCAACCGGAUUCUCUCAGGAUGCUACAGCGGGGGAAUAUCCAGAAAUCACUGGAGGAGCGCUCUCUUCACUCUGACCAACCCGGACCCAUCUCUGCACAGGGCUUCCGAUGCUCCUUAAUGGAGAGAUUGGGUCCUGCUGGUGGUCACGAGUCUCCAAGGAGCCUGCAGAGGUCUGCUGGGGUGGAUGGGGAAUCUAACGGUCGUCGGCAGAGGGGGAACGCAAAAGGAAGAGUAGAGCCACACCGAAAGCUAAGCAGAUCAUCUGCUCUCUGUGGUCAGAGGGGCGGAGUCCAGAGAGAAGAAGAUGACAUCACUGCAAGUGACAACCAAGGUAGAAGAGGGCCACCUGUGGCCAUGCCUUCACAUAUCACCAGACUCUCUCUCAAGAUCUUCUUCCAAAGC